rnacentral:snoRNA from 1 species
GACCAAGGACCAGAUCUGUCCCCAAGCCAAUGAUCUGAAGAGAAAAGCAAGUUGGGAUUCGGCUUCUGAGGU